UACGUAGGGGGCGAGCGUUGUCCGGAUUUAUUGGGCGUAAGGAGCUCGUAGGCGGUUUGGCAAGUCGGGUGUGAAAACUCCGGGCUCAACUCGGAGACGCCACUCGAUACUGCCAUGACUCGAGUCCGGUAGGGGAGUGCGGAAUUCCUGGUGUAGCGGUGAAAUGCGCAGAUAUCAGGAGGAACAUCAGUGGCGAAAGCGGCUUCCUGGACCAGCACCGACGUUCAGGCACGAAAGCGUAGGGAGCAAACAGG
rnacentral:rRNA from 1 species